CCUACGGGUGGCAGCAGUGGGGAAUAUUGGGCAAUGGGCGCAAGCCUGACCCAGCAACGCCGCGUGAAGGAAGAAGGCUUUCUGGUUGUAAACUUCUUUUCUCAGGGGCGAAAAAAGUGACGGUACCUGAGUACUACGCCACGGCUAACUACGUGCCAGCAGCAGCGGUGAUACGUAGGGGGCAAGAAUUCUGCGGAUUUAUUGGGUGUAAGGGGCGUGUAGGCGGGAGCGCAAGUCAGAUGUGAAACCUCAGGGCUCAACCCUGAGCCUGCAGUUGAAACUGUGUUUCUUGAGUGCUGGAGAGGCAAUCGGAAUUCCGUGUGUAGCGGUGAAAUGCGUAGAUAUACGGAGGAACACCAGUGGCGAAGGCGGAUUGCUGGACAGUAACUGACGCUGAGGCGCGAAAGCGUGGGGAGCAAACAGGAUUAGAUACCCCAGUAGUC
rnacentral:rRNA from 1 species